rnacentral:lncRNA from 1 species
UGCCGAAAAGAUCCAGUCCAAUACAACUUGUUUUCUAAACAUUAAAGUUCUGAUCGAUAAUUGCAUGUUGGUAAUCCGAGUAUAUGGAAAUGCUUCCAAUUUGUCUCACCUGGAAAUGCUUCCAAUUUGUCUCACCUUGUGUAAACACAAAAGAGUCUGUGGUUAAUGUAAUUCCAAACACUUUGUAUUUUCUGGUAGAAGCGUCGUUAACAAGAACCCAUCUAGAACAAAUUUUUGGUGGAGUGGGACAGGGUUAUAGAUGGUGAGCUUCUUAGUUCUUACAUCCUUCAUCAAGGUUUUGAAGAAGUAGCAUUCCAUUACAUGAGUCUCUUAUACACAAGGUAUGACGCGGUAAUAGCAUUUUCUUGCAUGUUGAUGGAGUAAUAUUUAGAGACUAUAAUGUGUACAAAUGAGAAGAAAGUUUAGAGUAUAAUGCUUGCACACAAUCUUGAAUUUUAAAAGAUCCUUUGUAGGAGGAAUUCUUAUUAGUAUUUCAUACAUCAAUUCUUCAGGUAAAAAAACAGCCAUUGUUCUUCUUCUUGAUGAUAAGAACUAUAGUCUAUAGACUGGUUUGCUUGACAAAACCCUAAUAUAUGUAGUACUUAUUAUAUAAAAACUAAAAACCCUAGCACUGUUUGAGCAGAAUUUGAGGCUUUUUUUUUUAGUGUUCAAGGUCCAUAUAUAUAUAUACUUGAAACCCCAGCCCACAUAAUUCAGUAUCCAAAUUUCCAACCCAUAAUAUCAUAUCUAGUUUGGUUUUUGUAUUUUAUCCAGAACGCAGGUUAGAGAUUAUCUGUCAAAAUUUGGUUAUGAUAUCUAGUUUGGUUUUUAUAUUUUAUCCAGAAUGCAGGUUAGAGAUUACCUAUCAAGACCUUAAAUGCAGCAGUACUGCAGCCAUUUGCCUUAACACUACCCGAAGCCCAGAUGUUCGAUGAAAUUCCUAAACGAAAUUUUUUUGUUGUGUUUUUUAAGUGUAAGUUAGACAACAGCAGUUUGGAUACCAUGUCCAAUAUAUUCAUGAUAUCAAAUUUGGGGUACGUAAAGUUUAGAAAUUGAGGUAUAAGUUGAUUCAAAGUUCUGGUUUUCGUCACCAGGUUUGAUACCAAAACACAUUCAGAAGAAGUAACUGGGUUGGUUGAUCCUAAUAUGGAAGUAACUGGGUUGGCUUAUGUUCUAUAGGGUGAACCAUCAGCCUGCAUAUUCGCCACAGAGUUCCUGCAGCAUGGACUAAUUGGGUUGUUGUUAUACCUACUCUUGAAAAUGGUAGAUUCUUUAUUAUCUUACAAGAAUAUAGUAAUACCUAGAUAUUAAUAUAUUAUAUUCAUGAUAUUCAGCUGCUUCAACUGAAAUGUUUGGAAAAUAUUCUACACGUUGCCUACGAAUAUAAUUACAACCGCAUGUUCAGACCCUUGUUCCCGUCCCAAAGCCAUAUGGUUAU